CCUACGGGUGGCAGCAGUGAGGAAUAUUGGUCAAUGGUCGGGAGACUGAACCAGCCAAGCCGCGUGAGGGAUGAAGGUACAGAGUAUCGUAAACCUCUUUUGUCAGGGAACAAAGGCGGGGACGUGUCCCCGGAUGAGUGUACCUGACGAAAAAGCAUCGGCUAACUCCGUGCCAGCAGCCGCGGUAAUACGGGGGAUGCGAGCGUUAUCCGGAUUUAUGGGGUUAAAGGGGUGCGCAGCCGGUCUGUUAAGUCAGCGGUAAAAGCCCGGGGCUCAACCCCGGCCCGCCGUUGAAACUGGCAGUCUCGAGUUGGAGAGAAGUAUGCGGAAUGCGCGGUGUAGCGGUGAAAUGCAUAGAUAUCGCGCAGAACUCCGAUUGCGAAGGCAGCAUGCCGGCUCCACACUGACGCUGAGGCACGAAAGCGUGGGUAGCGAACAGGAUUAGAUACCCCAGUAGUC
rnacentral:rRNA from 1 species